rnacentral:rRNA from 1 species
UACAGAGGUCUCAACCGUUGUUCGGAUUCAUUGGGCGUAAAGGGUGCGUAGGCGGUCGUGCAAGUCGGAUGUGAAAUCUCAGGGCUCAACCCUGAAACUGCAUUCGAUACUGCGCGGCUAGAGUGCUGGAGGGGAGACUGGAAUUUACGGUGUAGCAGUGAAAUGCGUAGAUAUCGUAAGGAAGACCAGUGGCGAAAGGCGAGUCUCUGGACAGCAAACUGACGCUGAGGCACGAAGGCCAGGGGAGCAAACGGG